AUUGAACGCUGGCGGCAGGCCUAACACAUGCAAGUCGAGCGGAAACGACUUAACUGAACCUUCGGGGAACGUUAAGGGCGUCGAGCGGCGGACGGGUGAGUAAUGCCUAGGAAAUUGCCUUGAUGUGGGGGAUAACCAUUGGAAACGAUGGCUAAUACCGCAUAAUGCCUACGGGCCAAAGAGGGGGAUCUUCGGACCUCUCGCGUCAAGAUAUGCCUAGGUGGGAUUAGCUAGUUGGUGAGGUAAUGGCUCACCAAGGCGACGAUCCCUAGCUGGUCUGAGAGGAUGAUCAGCCACACUGGAACUGAGACACGGUCCAG
rnacentral:rRNA from 1 species